UGACCAUGAAGAAACCUACUCGUGAUAGUCAGUAUACUCCAAGUAAUAAUAUAAGUGAAUAAUGUUUUACAGUCACUUUGAAUCAGUCUCUUCUUCCAGCUCUAAUCCAUCCGUAUCCAGUUAGAGCAGACUCCUCCAAGGAGUUCUACCAGCAAAACCUCAGAUAUAUUGCGCAGAACAGGAGCGGAACAUAAGGAAACAUCACUUCGGCUUCGCCCAUCUCCCGUGUCCCUGGCAGCAUGGAGGAGGGGUGCAGGACAUCACCUUUGUGGCCUGAUUUGUCCCCACAGGAAGGUCUCUUUGGUCUCCUAGGCUGGCAGCAACAUCAAAAGGAAUUCAGGCUCACCUGGUCACAGUCUGGCCAUCACAUUUUUAUAGGAACAAAGAAAGAUGCGCCCAGUAUGAGCGAGGCUGCCCAGCGCCCUGCCAAAGUGAUGGGACUGCUGCCCGGGGCACUGCACUCCUCUACCACCGGCCCUUGCUCUGCAGCAUCAGCAUCAGCUCUGCGAUGGGAGCCAGAUUUCCCUCUGGAAGCAAAUUCUGAUUCCUCUUGGGAGAACCAGCUCUUCACUUAUCCUUCUUAUCUGCAAAGACUAUUAGCAAUUAAAUAGGCAAUGCUAACAUGUAGAGAGUGAUAAUUGACCC
ensembl:lncRNA